GUGAGUAGUUCAGAGUUUGAUCCUGGCUCAGGACGAACGCUGGCGGCGUGCCUAACACAUGCAAGUCGAGCGGAGACAGGAGGGAGCUUGCUCCCGAAUGUUUUAGCGGCGGACGGGUGAGUAACGCGUGAGCAACCUUUCUCUCAGUGGGGAAUAACACACCGAAAGGUGUACUAAUACCGCAUGAGACCACGGUACCGCAUGGUACAGAGGUCAAAGAUUUAUCGCUGAGAGGUGGGCUCGCGUCCGAUUAGAUAGUUGGUGAGGUAACGGCUCACCAAGUCGACGAUCGGUAGCCGACCUAAGAGGGUGAUCGGCCACAUUGGGACUGAGACACGGCCCAA
rnacentral:rRNA from 1 species